GAUGCCAGAACCAAGAGAUCCGUUGUUGAAAGUUUUAACUAUUAU
rnacentral:rRNA from 1 species